rnacentral:tRNA from 1 species
GCCUCGGUAGCUCAGUUGGUAGAGCGAUGGAUUGAAAAUCCAUGCGUCGGUGGUUCGACUCCGCCUCGAGGCACCA